UGCGUAGGCGGAAUAUUAAGUCAGUGGUGAAAUCCUGCGGCUCAACCGUAGAACUGCCAUUGAUACUGAUAUUCUUGAAUGUAGUUGAGGUAGGCGGAAUGUGUAAUGUAGCGGUGAAAUGCUUAGAUAUUACACAGAACACCGAUUGCGAAGGCAGCUUACUAAACUAUGAUUGACGCUGGGGCACGAAAGCGUGGGGAGCGAACAGGAUUAGAUACCCUGGUAGUCC
rnacentral:rRNA from 1 species